CUUGGAAAUCGCUGGUUGCUUGGUGAUAGUGACUAUCCCUGCAAACCCUAUCUUUUAACACCAUUAAUGAACCCCCGUACUCAAUCAGAACAAUUAUAUAAUGAAUCACAUAUUAAAACAAGAAAUACUAUAGAAAGAUGCAUUGGUGUUUGGAAAAGAAGAUUCCCUGUAUUGUCAUUAAAAGGCAGAUUAAAAUUAGAAAACAUGCAAGCUGUUUUUAUAGCAACCGCAGUGCUGCACAAUAUCGCAAGGAGUAUGAACUUAGAAGAUUUGGAACCAGAAAUUUCAGUCCCAGAUAUGAUACACGAAAACAAUAUAAUUGUUCAUAACAAUUUUCCAGAACGUACAUCUGAAAGGCAAUUACUAAUUUGACUAUUUCUUAUUUACCAAAAUGAAAAUUACAUAGUAGUAGUCAUGCACAGGGUAUUAAUUAAGAAUUUGUACUUAAACCUCAUUAAGAAUUUGUACUUAAACCUAAAAAAUAUCUAACAUACAAUUAUUGCCUACUUAUUCUAUUAAAUUUAAUUCUUGUUUUAAUUAUAAAUUUUCUAAUCUAGCAUUGUCUACUGGGGAAAGGCGGAGGGGCGUGCCGGACUCCUACCGGCUAAAACCACCCCGGUGUCCACCCACACGUGCGCGCAGGGCCGCGGGAAUCAAAAUUCUUCCGCAGCCUCACACCAGUGCUGGCCCGGUCUGUCCAGGUCUCGUCUCCUGCACGGGGUAGUGAGGCGUUCAGCUACUCCGUGCAUCGCCUCAGAGGCACGCGCUGACACCCGCACGUGCCUCCGUCUCACGUCCAUCGAAUAGGGGGCGAGGGCUUUCCCAAGUCCCUCGCCCGUGGACCCAUUCAUGGGGGGCGGAAAAGGCGUUGUCCGACCUUCUCCUGCGCCCGGUGCGCCUUCUGCGGCCGGGGAAGGAAGUCGCAAUCUCCCUCUCCCGUUCCGCAGUUUCCUUCUGCGACAUCACGUCCUCGCAGAAGGACACCACGGCGUCCCACGACUUUGCGCUGCCGACCAUCCUCCGCACUACGGCUGGCAGCGACAGAUCGCUUCCUACUUCAUUUGUGAGGAUACGGCGCUGCUCCUCCCAAGCUACACACUCGGCGAGCGUGUGUUGCGCCGUGUCCUCUCCGCAGUGGACGCAGUGGUGGCACCGAGCGUCCGGCUCCCUGUCUAUGCGGCACAGGUACUUGCCGAAGCAACCGUGCCCCGACAGCACCUGUGUCACCCUAAACGAUAGGGAGCCGUGCCUUCUCCCGAGCCAGUCGUCGAGUACUGGCUGGAUUGCCUCGACGGUAGGGCGAGGCCAGCGGUAGGGCGCAGAAGCCUUUGCCGCCAUUCCGCCACCAAGGCCUGACGGAGCUCCUCUCGGCGCAGCGCUAUCUGCCGCUGCACCGGCCUCGAGCCCCGUGCCCGCUCUUCCUCGCGCCAUCGAUAUAAUGACGCGAGUACUUUCGUCUCUAGGUCCCAGGGCGGGAAUCCGGCCAAGACGCAAGCCGCCUCGUAGGAAAUCGUGCGGUACCCGCGGACGACUCUGACGGCCAUCGCCCUUUGUGGUUUACGCAGAAAGCAUUGUCUAGAUCUAACUUAAGUUUUGCUACAAUAUUCUCCUUUUCUGCAUUUUCCAAGUAAAUUUUAUUUUUUUUGCUGUUAAGUAUUCUGUGAAGGCAUUGUCCCUGAAAAUGCUAGCCUUGCACUUUUCGUCUUCUAUUUUGUGUUUUCGUUUCGCUGUAAAAGUGUUAAAAAUAUUACAAGUAUGCCAACCUAAAAAACAAUGUGUAUAGUGCAAGUGCAUAACUAUUUAUAGCUUGGGAUAAAAAAAAAACUAUUAGUGGCUAAGCUAGAUAAUUAUAGCAUACAGCUAUGGUUCUUCAUUUUGCUACUCUAGAGUCAAACAGCCAUGGUUAGUGAACUUUUUAACAAACAUGUAGCACAUUUUUACCUACAAGCAGUUAUACUGUUUCAAUGAAUGUGAGCUGGUAGGAAUCAAGUUCAAUAAGCCCUUUACUCUAGUGACUAAUGGAGAUGAUUCAAAAGGGCCUCAAUAAUACAUAAUACAUACAUACCUAAUACAUACAUACAUAUAUACAUACCUAAAGUGCCACUCCCACUCGCCCUAUUAAAAAAAAAAGGAUUUCUGUAUUGGGGGAGGUGUCUCGAGAAUUUGUACCUCCUUCAAUACAUCCUCACCAACACUGCCAUCACUAUCGCCAUCACCGUUUCUGUCCCCAUUUAUUAUUCCCACUCCCUCAACAUUAAUAUCUUCACCCAUCAUCACCAAAUUAAAAUCUUUCUCAACGGAAGCACUCGGUAUAGCGUCUCCACCAAACUCCACAGAGAAACUUUGGCAUGUGCUUCCCAAAAGUGAAGCCACUUUAUCCAAAAUUUAAUCUGGUGGAAAACAAUCUUUACCACCUCCAGUCUGUAACAAAGAGCAUAUUUCAAAUACGACAAUCUGAAGAGAAACAACUUGAAUCAUGAUGUAAUGUAAUGUUAUUAAUAAACUAUCAACUAAUUCACUAAUCUUAUUAAGCUUGUUUCUCAUGUCGGCGCAGCGUUUGGGAGCAGACUUCUUUAGGUUUUCCCAUUUUAAACGAAGUUGCGGUGGAGUUCGUGGGAAACUUGUGAUCGAUGAAUUAAAAUGAUUUACUAGGGUUUGCCAAGUUUCAAAACUUGGACGCAAAGUAAAAUAAAUUAAUAUCAAUGUAACAAAUGUAGAUACUUACAGAUUCAAUUUUAUUUUACUAUAGCUCUUUAAUUAAACACACACUUAGAAUAAAAUUAUAAACAAAAUUUUUAAGCGUUUAGGAUGGAAAUCACCACGACUAAACAAUGAAAAUUGAAAUACGAAACAAACAAAAGAAAGGAAACACUGCUCAUUUGCAAACGGACGUUUCGUUUCAUAAUUUCGACUAGGAUAAAAGCAACGGCAAGUCAAAUUUAAAAAAAAUUCUACAUAUGUUUUUCCUACUUUUUAAUAUAAGAAAUGAAUUUGUUAUGGUUUACAAUAUGAUAAUUAAAUUAUAGUCACAAUUAAGAAUAAAAGAAUAUGAGUUUUGAACUUUUUUUUUUGAACCUAAUGCUAUUUCGUAUUUGCAGUAGAACGAAACGUAUGAAGGGGCUCGGAUAGAUGAGAGGGAAGAAGCUAUCUACUGUUUGUUAUAGAGAGAUAGGACUUAUCCGUGAUUGUGAAACGCAAACUAAGGAUAGAUACGCCCUUACUGAAAAUCGGAGAUAGCUAUCUAUCCGUAAUCUCAGAUAGGUUAUUGAAAACGGCCGUAAGAAAAACACGUACUCUUAUUUUGUUUCCCUAAAACAGCAUAGCUAGCUUGCUAACGUUUUAUCGCCGACACAGCAACAUACGAAACGACGAUAACAUUUAGCAUGCUAGAAAUGGGCAGAUGGCACUGUACUACGCCAUAGGUUUAUGUUUUGCGGUCUCUGAGUUUUCAAACGACAACUUUAUAAAAUCAGUGUAUUAACUUUUAAAAAUAUCAUUUACUUGGCUUUGAAGCACGAACUUGUCUUAUAUCCUUUCGUAUCAGCUAUAUUAUCUGGCGGCCGCCAUAAUGGAAAAAAAGCCUUGUCUGGCAGAGGUCUAUCUUCCCCCUUAAUUCUAGAAGAUACUUUUUAGAAAAACUGUAAUUAAACUGCUUUAUUGUUCAAAACCAGUGCAUUAUGCUAUAGGUUUAGAAUCACAAAGGACCAAGCUAUUAUAUUUUAUACUAAUAAUAACUGCAAAGGUGUGAAAAUAGUAAAUUAAUUUAAGUCAAAUAUGCAGAUUUAGAUUUUGUUCCAAUUUUAGGUAUUGGGGUAGCAAGGGGGCGUGUAAAUAGCCCUCCUGCGGCGGGAGCAUAUAAAGCGGGGUUGUAGAAAGGCGUGUAAAUAGCCGUCCUAAGCGGUAUGUGACAAAUGUUUGUCACUUAUAAUUAGCGGAGCGGUAAAACUAUAUAGCGGUAAACAAAGCUAGUAAUCAAACUAAAGAUAUAAAUUAAAUACACAUAAGCGAGCGGGCGGGCGAAUGAUUACACGGAAGCAGCAAUAAAAUGGCAAUAAAUUAAAAGAACUUGCACUCACCUGUAGACCUUGCCAGUGACUGUGGUGCGGGCUUCGGCGAUGGAAGCACGCGGGCGGCGGGAGGGGGCGAAGCUCACGUAGCUUUUCGUAAGCACAAGCACCACAUAAUAUACAAGUGCCGCCAUCUAGGCAGCUAGCGGUAAAGCGUGAUCGAUCGGGUAGAACCACGCUUUGGAUAGUCGCGGUAAUUAGUAACUGACAAACUCCAAAGGUGGCGCCAUCCCAAUAAUUCACUACGCAUCCUAUCACUAAUCCGCGCGCAACCAGGUAUAAAUACUGACAGAAAUAUUUAAUAAAACAACUAAGCGAUCAUAUUUGUAUUUAAUUUGCUUUGACAAACACUAUUUCAAAACACAAUCCUAAGAAUUACACAUCAUUCUAUACAAAAAAAUAUCAGUAGAACGUUUACAAAAAAUCGGCCGCAGUGGUAGAUCUUGCGCCGGAUGUUGAAAAUAGCUCAUGUUACAAGCUUAGUUCUGAGAAAUAUAUUGAUCAAGUGAGAUUGAAAUGUAUGUUUAUAUUGAUGUUUGGUUCAUAAUCUCAAUUGUGUUAAAUAUUUACGUCUGAAAUUGUAAGAUUAUAAAGAUAUUAAGAUCCAAAUAAAACCUGUGUAAACUAAGAAAAAAUAGGUAUAUUCAAACAAUGAUCUGUACUGUAGUAUUCAAUUAUUUUUAUGAGUUAAUAAUGUAUUUCCUAAAACAUAUAUAAAUUUGCAAAAGGCUUGUAAGAUAUAAAGAUGGUGUUUUCAUACAACAUUUAUUAGAAAAUGAUGAAAUAAAACAACAAUUAUUUACUAAGAUGGCACGCAAAAACGGCUGUCUUAACAUGGAUGCGACUUUUUACCCUCCGACUGGCGAAUGACCGGGUCCGGUCGGUUACUGUAUUUAUAUUAUUUCUGUUGUUUCAGAAUAUUAUUUAUUUGUUCUUAGAAAAAAAAAUGUAUAAAAAGUUUUUUUUUCAGAUUAUUAAAUCAAAAAUCAAAUUCAAAUUCUCUCUCUAAAUCAAAUUUACUCUUACAAAAAACGUACAUACAACCAGACAAAAAAAACAAUUCUUAAGAACUUAAGACGAAAAAUUUUAAGACAAAAAAUCAGACAAGAAAUAAAUUCUUGAAAUAUGUCAACAAUGUUUUGAUAGUCUUAAAAAAAGUUAACAUGUAGGCUACUUAUAAUUGAGAAGAAAUAAUAAUUAACAUAGGUACAUAAAAUUAUUUGGCCUUACCCUAUUAUUAUAUUAAUUGUGAAGUUUCACAAAACAUGUGAAUACGCACACAGGUUUGUCGCACCCUACGCAAUACGUUACCGUGCGCUUGCUGCACACUUUACAUGGGUGGCGAUGGCGAUGUGUGCUGUUUAAUAAAGUUAGCCGCGGAUAUUCGGCGGGGUGAUGGCGGCUCACCUCGAAAAUGGUAUCUUGUAUCCUGGCAGAAAAGACAUAUGGCUGCAUUUUCAUUGAAUGCCUACGCAAAAGGGAUUCUACCAGGUUUUUUCUAAAGCCCCUGUGGUCCAAGACCUCCGUGGCGGUCUGUUUAUGUAUGAUAUAGGCAUUCAACACAGAAACAUUAAGUAACCUUUUAAACAAUUUCUUAUACCAAAUUUGUGUCCUCUUGCGUUCAAUUGGGAAUGCAGCCAACAUCUGAUCUUUUUUAUCCACGCCACCCAUGCAGAUGUUGUAGUCACGUAUCAAAAUAAGUUUUGUUACUCCGUUUUUAGUGGAGACGGCAUUGCCAUGGUACGUUGAGAUCGUCGCUACGCGGUUCUGAUCUCUCCAUAUUAUGCAAUCGACAUCUCCACUGGUAUAGCCUACUACUUGCCCGGGAUUCAUCUGAGAUUUUUUCAGAUUGUUCAGUUCCGUCGGGACAUACUUGCGGCUUGUCCGCAACGUACCGACACAAUCAAACCCAAUCGACUUGAAUUUUCGGGCAAGUGCUGGGGAAUUGUAGAAGUUAUCCAUCCACAACGUGUACCCUUUGUGUUCUAAACCUUUGAUAAGGUUAAGAACCAACGCCGGUGUACUCGCUGUGAAUGGAUCAGCCUCUGAGACUGUAGGCGAAGCCUUAUGGGCAUGGAUUUUAAAUCGCCAUAAAUACCCCUCUGCGACUCACAUAUUUCGUAAGUUUUUAUGCCCACUGCUGCAGCUUUGUUUGGAAUAAAUUGGUUGAUGUUCAACCAACCUUUCCACUGCAGCAGCGAUUCAUCUAAAGCAAUGUUCUGCUUCAUUAUAUAUAAUUCCGUGAACUUGGAAUUCAAAUGGCUAAUCACAGGCUCCACUUUAAAAAGCUUUGCCUGUGAGGGAUCCAGGUUGAGGUUUCUCAAGUUCUCGGAAUUAUUAAAAUGUAAGCACCUGCUGAGUAACUGGAACCUCCUAAGCGACAUAUAUACUUUGAAACCUGGAGUGGAGAAGAUGUUUUGUUCCGUAUUCCAGUACUCUUCAACCCGGUUCUUUAUGACGAUUCCCAUCGCCAGUAAUAUUCCGAAGAACACCAAUAACUCGUCUACAUUGGUAUCUUUCCAUUCUGUAAUCCUACUGGAGGCCUGUAAUUCCCCGCCGUCCAACAUUUCAGCAGCUAAUUGUUGGGCAUAUCUAUUUGUUUCCUGCACAAUAAAUUCCAUGAACUCCUGGUCCCAAAUUAGUCUAAAAAUCUCGUAAAGGUCACUUACAGUGACAGUGGGACCAGAGUUUUCCUUAAAAGAUUCAUGCCUUUCUGUUGGCGGUAUAGGAGAGUCAGGGAAAGUUCCCCAGUCAAAUUCAAAAAAAUGACUAGGCUUCAUACCGGUAUCACGCGCUGGUGAUGUAGGUGCUGAAAUGAUGGAAGGCGAGGAAGAUGUCACAAGAGGUUACUUGCCGCCGCCGUGUCAAUCUCAAUCUCCUCGUCGUCCGGAGUGUCCAUCAGUAUUCCAGCUGCCCGGGGGAUGAUCAUGGGAACGAUUUCGUCGUUAUCAUUCUGGCUCUCAUCAUCGCUGUCAUCGUCGUCACUUCCUAAUUGAAUAUAAUAGUACGGUUAGGUCUUGAGAAAAGUAAGCUUGUGCUUGUGAUUACAAAAAACUUUGCGUAAGAUGUUAUCAAUAGUUAAUUUGAAAUCGCCCUAUGCCCUAUACUAAUUAUUUAGUAAUUUAGUGCCAACAUGCACAAAAAUUUACAUCGCAAAUUUACAUUUAUUAAAUUCUUACCAUAGUGCAACAAGUAGCAAAUUUCAGAGUCUCGUAGCGGUCGACGUAGCAAUGAAAUAGAAUCUCUGUUCCUGUGUAGUACAAUAGUAUACAUUUAGAAUCAACACCUUCCUCUCCCAUCAUCUCAUUCUUCUACAUUGAAAUAUGAAAAAUACCACUUACGUAGUAUCAUGUUCUUGGUCUGGGCAAAGCGAUCGACGCACACGUUUAUGUGACGGCGAAGGACUACGGUACAGAAAUCUGUAUAUUAUAUCUAGAAGAUGGCGUGCUCGUACCACUGCCGCCACAUUCAACGUACCUGAAACAUCAUACGUUAUAAGUAUUAUAAAAUCAACUAUCACGAUAUUAAUAAUAAAUUAUUAUGAUAAAAAAAUAUACAUUGCCGGUAAUGGCGGAAUCGCAGGUGAAGACAAAAUUACUGGAAUGUCCUCUCCGUCAGGUUCAUAAUUUCGGCUGAAAACAAUAAUGUAUUGUAAUAUUGACAGUUAGCUAAAUGAUGAUGGUGAUAAAGUUGGCAAAUAAAUCAAAAAUAAAUUGGGUGAGGAUUGAUACUUACGGGUUCCAUGAACGCUUAUUUCGCUCCGUCAAUGUCUGCUCUAUCGGUUCCCCAGCGGGCAAAUCCUCAAUUGCAAUAAGGUUAAAUCUGUAAAUACAAUCACAUUUAUAAGACAAUGAAGAUCGCGUCAUGGAGGAGAGGCUUUUCUAGCAGUGGAUUCAGGCUAAUUAUGAUGAUGAAAUAAAUGCACAUUUACUCAUGAGAUGCAGUGUCACUACAUAAAUAUAAAAAAACUGGCCAAAUGCAAGUCGGCCUCGCACACGAAGGGUUCCGUACGAUUAUUAUUAAUAUCGAGCAAAAAAUAACAAAAUAUCACCUAUGUUGUAUGCGAGCCCCCCUUAAAUAAUUAUUUUAUUUUGUUUUUAAUAUUGCAGCCACAGAAAUACAUGAUCUGUGAAAAAUUCAACUCUCUAGCUAUCACAGUUCUUGAGAUACAGCCUAGUGACAGACAGACAGCGAAGUCUUAGUAAUAGGGUCCCGUUUUUUUCCCUUUGGGUACGGAACCCUAACAAGUAUUUAAAAUUGAAUUUCCAUUAAAAACAAAAUACUAACGCGCAACUUGCCGACGGCCUCUGUUCAACAGAAGACCGCGGGCACCCCCUUCCUUUACCUCGUACCCUUCCUUUUCGUGAACCACCACGUGUUGGAACACUCGAACGACCUCCGCGAGUGCGCACGCCUGUUGCUCUUUGCACUGCCUCCCCUCACCCGCAAACUUCUCUCACUAUUAAAAUCCAAUCAAAAGCGCAACACAUGCAGUUAACUGGGUGCAGGAAAAAGACAUUCAAAUUAGUUUUAAAUAAAGCGCAAGUGCAAAAGAAUAAAAAAAGAAAGAAAUAAAAAAAAAGUUUUUCAAAAUUAUUUGUCAAAGCAAACCAAACACCAUAUCGAGGGGUGAAAGGCUAUUUGGUUUAAGCGACAUUUUUGCAACUUUACACGAGAGCCAUUUAAAGUUUAAAAUUUUGGAAAAAAUAUCAUAACAAAAAAACUUCUUCAGCAAUUUGAAUGGAGUAAACUUAAUUGAAAUUCAAUUAAAAACAUCAAGUUGUUGAUGCUAAUACCGAAUAAAACGGACCUUUAAUUACAAAGAUAAACGUCGCUUAAUACAAAUUGCCUUAAGCCCUUAUUUUUCAGAGUAUGGAAUAAAGAUUUAAGUGACUUCAUAACCACAAUUGGCUACAGGGAAAAAAAAUAAGCGACGCUGCAAUAUAUUUUCAGAGUAAGCCAAAAAGCAUGAAGUGACUUAGCCCAAAAUUAAUAGUAGCAAGCUAUUUAUCUCAACUACCAAUUUAGAUUAAAAUGACUGACAGGCGAAUUUACUUAUGUGACAUAUAAUAUUAAAAAUUUACCGUUCGAUGUUACAUUUUUUUACGUCUAAUACUAUCAGUGGCUGUUAAAACAACCUAAAUAUAUCGCAAUCACUGAAAAUCUCAGGUGCUUAUAUUGAAUAAAUAAAGAAAUACACAAAACACAACAACAGUUAAAGUAUUUAUUUAGAAAAAUAAUUAAGUAGAUCAGUCUCAAUGUGGGAACAUCAAUUAUAUUUAUUUAUUUUUUAGUCUUAAUCAACAACAUCAGUUAAACUAUUAAUAUUUUGUAUAAUAAUCAAGUAAAAUCAGUCUGACCGUAGGAAAAUCAUCUAUAAUUAUAAUAAUAUAAUAAAUAAUUAUAGUUGAUUUUCCUACAUUCAGACUGAUUUUACUUGAUUAAUAUACAACACAUUAAUUAACAACAUCAGUUAAAGUAUUCAGAUUUCGUAUAAUAAUCAAGUAAAAUCAAUCUGAGUGUAGGAAAAUCAACUAUAAUUAAUUCAUUAUACAUGAUUUUCCUACAUUCAGACUGAUUUUACUUGAUUAUUAUCACAUCAGUUAAAGUAUUAAUACGUAUUAGUAUUUUGUACAUUAUAAAGUAUUAUUACUUUUACUGAUGUGAUGUUAAUCAAGUAAAUUCAGUCUGAAUGUAGGAAAAUCAACUAUAAUUAGGUAUUAUUUAUUCAGUAUUACUUGAGAUCGGCUGUCAUAAAACUUACUAAGAGUAUAAUUAAUCACAACCAAUAUUGUUUAAUUAUAACUUAAACUAAUAAAAACAAAAUAAAAAAUAUCAAAUCAAUAAACAAAACUUGUAAUUAUAAAAUACAGCCAAUGCUUGAUAAUAAUCAUAAUGCAAUGAGAAAGAACGUAUUUAAUAAUCAUUUUCUUCGACUGUAUCUUCUACAUCAGUAUCCAGUAGAACAUCUUUGGAAUUGCAGUGUUGUAGAUUUAUGUAUUCUUUAUGAAAUAUCUUGGGUAUAACCCCAGUGUCACACAAUUUCUUUAGGUCCAUGUAUUUGGCUUUGGUAAUCGGCAAACUUGAAUUAUAUCUACGAUUGAUAGCUCUAGGUUUCGCAAUAAUUUGUAUAAUCUCUUCGGAUGCAUUAUCUUUCAUUGAAAAUUUUACUUUCAUUUGAUUUGGAUGAGAUUUUUUAAAUGUUGCUGUACGGAUUUUACUAAUUUUACCUACAAGGUUACCCUUAAAAUAUUUUUCAGACAUAUCAUCAAAAUUUAAGAAAUCCUCGUGUGUCAGAUUUUCAUUAUAAGGUGCUGGUUCUUUUCUUGCUAGCUGGCUUAUUGUAGCCCAUUGCGAAGGGGCCCAUACAGUAAUAUUUCUUACGGAUUGUUCGAUUGUAGAGUGUAUGCUGUCUACCGACAUUUCCGUGUGGCCAGGGAGAAGGUAAUUCAUUUGAAUUGCUUGUAAAUUGUUCGAUUGCAACAAAGCAUUAUGUAUUGUUGCAAGGACUAUUUUAUUUUUGUUUUGUCCAGGGCAAGAAAUCUGAAUACAAGAUCAAAGAUGAGAAUCCACAUUCUCUAUGUAUUUCUGUAUAAUAGUAGCAAUUUCAUUUGCGCCCCUCUUUGCUUCAGAUUCUCCCCAGAUAAAACAAAAACCAUUCCUUGUGAUGCGAUGUAUUAUGUAUUAUAGGUACUACUAGUUAACGGUAAAUAGUAGUACCUAUAAUACAAUACAUUAAAACGUACUUAAGAAACAUAGUUCAUAAAUAAACUGUGCAAAUCGUUUCGUUCAUAAAUAAAUUUAGAUAACUGAAACAGUAAUUUGCAUGUUGGACAUGGGUAAUUUUAUUGUCAUAAACAAACGUAGUGUACCUACUAUAAUUAAAAUGCAUCUAAAGAUACGAGUAUUAAAUAAUUAUAAUAAUAUAAGUACUUACAACAAUAUCCAUAAUCAUUAUCACGUUAUAUAUAUAGCACAUAAAUGGAGAAAGAUAACUUAAGAUUGCCAUUAUUCUCUUAAAAUAAUGAGUUAACUACCUACUUAAUAGAAGAAGUAACAUAAUCAAAGACUAAUAAAAAUAAUAAAAACAAAUAACUUUAUUACAUUUCAUCUCAAUUGAAAAUUUUACGUAAAUAAUGAAAUUAAAGUACUUACGAUUCGAUUUCAAAGACAGACGUUUUACGUAAACACUGGCGGCGACUGCGCGUCACGUCACUCCUCGAUGCACUCUGGAGUUCAACUGAAGCGCCUGCGCGCGGCAGUCCGGUUGAAAGAUCACGAUUUUUAACUCCCGGGAGAUGUAAUAAAUAUGGUAUCAUGCGACAUGAAUGAAAUGUAUCAUAUUAAAAUUUAAUGAUUGAAAGACCGACCCGUAUUUUUAUUUAUACCGAAAAAAUGUUUCAUAUUGCAUUACUUCAUUUUAUUGUCUGUAUUAAGCGACAUGCAUUUAAUAAAAUAAUAGGACCAAAAUGUUUUAACGGCUAAGCAAAAUAUCUGAAACAAAAGAACUACUUGAUUUAAGUAGCACCCUGCAUGGAAAAUAGAUGCAGCUGAAAGAGCUUAAGCGACACUCCAUGUAUUUGGGUGACGGACAAAUGGUUUAAGAGACAUCACACCAUGUAAUUGGUAGAAGUCAAAAUGAUUUAAGUUACUGCUUAAUAAAAAAUUGAAACAGGAAACACGCUUUAACUCUUAUUGGAUUAUUUUUCUGAGAAAAGGUAACUGGUUUAUGUCUCGUCUCUUAAUAUCAUUGUAUGGUUUAAGUACAUUACUAAAAAAUAAUUCAAAAUCAACGUUGGAUAAUACACUGCCACUUUGGAAACAACCCAAAAAUAGUAUUGUUUCAAACGCCAAAAAAGUGCUCUGAUUUUAAUAAGUCCGGCAUCAUUCGACGGAGAAAAAUUCGCUGAUUCCGUAUAUGUAUAUAACUCAAUAUCACCCUAGAAGUCGCUUAAACCAAAUAGCCUUUCACCCCUCGAUAUAAAAGUAGAUCCAAUAGUCUUAUCCAUAUUAUGAUAGCGAGCGAACAAAAUGGCCGCGUUGCCCGAAAUAACCUAACUGUCAUCGUCCCGGUCCGGUCAGUGGAGGGACGCGUGUUAUUUUAUUCUAUAUUUCUCUAAUUAAUGAAAGAUUUCAAUAAAUUUACAAUUUGGAAAAGGUUAAUAGUUAAGUAAUUAUUUCAUUGUUUCCAUAAAUUACACAAAUCUACCAAUAUUUGGUGCUAAAUGAAUGGUUUGUUUGGCCGACAUGAGCGUGUGCUAAGCCUGAGUAGGUGUUAGAUACAUAGACCUAUAUAGUAGGGACACGACAUAUUGUUCUAUACGUACAAUUGCUUAUAUAAAUAGCACCCAUUUUGAAGGCACACACAUAAACAUAUAUCUAUCUCGUUCUUACUCAGCACUUUAACUCGCAGGAAAACAAUAUAACAGUAUUUCAGUGCGUACAUAAAAUGAAACAUGAAUAUACGUAAAUGUCUCCGUCUCCGUCUAAUGAGGCCGAAAAUCCGCCAUGUUUAGCGCGCCAAAUGUCAUUGUCACGUCAGUUCGGCCGUCUGUUUUGGGUUGUACAUUAUUUAUUGACUUUGAUAUCGAUUUAAUAUGAUUGAUUAUAUAAAAUUUCAUAAUUUAUCAUGCUUAAAACAUACAAAAAUAAUAAUUAAAACGUAUUUUAUAGAAUCUCAAGAAAGUCGAUGCCCUAAAACUAUUAUCUAUAUGUAUUUAAAUUCAUUAUGGAGCCCUCAUCCGAAAAAUCCAUUUUUCGGUCGGAAUCUAUUUAAAUAAAAUAGUUUUAUUCCGCAGUGAGUAAAACACUAUUGUAAAUUUGUUAAAUAUUUAAUAAUUAAGUGAUUUUAGAGAGGAAGUCACAAGGAAUGACGUUUGUAAUUAAUGAAUAAAUGUUCUGUAGGUGUUUUUUUUUUUUUUUUUUUUUUUCACGCGGUCCCUUGAUAAGUUUAAAAUUUGAAUCACUCUCAAGCGAAAGUGAUUCAAAUGGUGCGGCGCACCUUCCUUGGGGUGCGCUGCGGUAGUAUGUUACGGACUUUAGAGUCAGCAAAACAAUUAAAAUAGAUUGUUAUAGUCUAAGAAAAACACGCACUCAAAAUACGAUAACAUUUAGCAUGCUAGAAAUGGGCUGAUGGCUUUGAACUACGCCAUAUCUUUAUGUUUUGCGACAAACGACAACUUUAUAAAAUCAGCGUAGCAACUUUGAAAAAUCAUCAUAUCGUUUACUUGGCAAAUUCGAAGGACGAACUUGUCUUAGAUUUCACCCAUCUAAAUCAUAUCAUAUUUGCACAUAACAAUAUACCUACUUACUUCCCAUUAAAGUAUAAAUUCUACAAAUAAAUAAUACUCAACAAUAUUUAAAAUAAAAUGAGCCAAGAUCGUUUAUCGAUAAAACCUGAUAACAUUGAAAUCUUUUGUACAGCACUAAAGCCGCCAUGUUUUGUGGCCAGAUGACGUCACAGUGGCACGAAAUUUUGGUUGACGUUUCAUUUCCAUAGGUUUCCUACUUCAUUGGUUAGAUAUCAAUGUUUUACCACGAAAAGCGUGUCACAACACGUACAAAAACAAAGAAAUAUGCUUAUUACAUCCACCUUUAUAUAUACCUUUAUAUAUACUUUAUAGAUACCUUUCCAUCGCUUUUUCAAAACUUUAUCUCGUUAUACUGUCGUCAACCACUUAAAACACUUGAAAAUAGACGCACAAACACUUCCAACUACUCCGCGUUAGCAAGUCCGGAACAAUGAGUUUUUUUUUCUUAAAAACAUAUGUAAGUUUACCUAAGAAAGCGUCUAUAUUCUGUCUUUGUUUAACGUUCUAGCAGUUGUAUGCGUUAGAACAGUGCAGAACGUGUUUUAAAGUGCGCUUUUCGAAUGAAAACAGCGGCAUCAAAUUACUGACCGUUCCGGUCGUCUGCCAGCUGAGUAGCUGAGCGUUUAUUUUAUCAUGACCGGAGCGGGAGGCUGCCACCAUGGCACAUUUUUUCCGAUGGCGUCUACCAUAGGAAGGGCUAUUUCACACAUCUAAAUCAAAGUAUCUUUGCACAUAACAAUAUACUGACGUCCUAUUAAAGUAUAAAUUCUACAAAUAAUUAAUACUCAAUAAUAUUUAAAAUAAAAUGAGCCAAGAACGUUUAAAAACCUAAUAACAUUAAAAUAUUCUGGGCAGCUCUAAAACCGCCAUGUUUAGUGGCCAGAUGGCGUCGCAGUGGCACGCAUUUUUUGUUGACGUUUCAUUUCCAUAGGUUAUAUAAUUCAGUGGUAACAACACAUGUUUUUUUGUAAUCAAAUAUCUUUUAUCUAAAAGACUUGUUUUUGCCCCCGUUCGUUGAAAACAGAACAUGUAUAAACUCUUUAGACGGCACCUUUGUGAGAAACUAUUCGAACCUCGACGAAGGUUAAAUUCGAAUUUAAAUUCAAAUAACAAAAAAAACAAUUAUAGCGUCGUCUUUUUUUCACUUCUUAUUUUAGCAUCGCGUUCGUUAUUAAAUUUAUUAAUUUUUAGUUUUAUUUUAUAUUUAUUAUAUACCUACCUACUUAAAGCAACGACAUAGGUCUUAAAUAAUAAGUGUAUUUAUUAUGGACCUAUGUAUGUGCUGUGCAUUUUAAUAUUAAUAUAAAAACAACUAAUAAUAAUAUUAUGUAACGCCUACAUCAUUGUUCCUGCUUCAUUAAUUUAAAUAUAUAAAUAUGUGCCGCAAUAAUCAAGAGUUCCUCGAAGUAAUCUUCGCCGGAGUACGAGCUGGAGACCCGGGUGAGUGAAAAGUUGUUAUUUUGUUUUGGCUUUCACGGAAUAUUCCAAAUAUUGUUUAGUUAUACUCCCUUUAUUACUACAAUUUCAUAUAGGCUUCGCUUUAUUUAGAAUACAUAAAUUUCAUUAUCCGGUAAACUUCGAAAGAUCGUUCUGCUUCUGCCCCAUUUCUGCCCUCGCUCAUUUAAUGCAGUCCGCCAUUUUGUGCGUCGCCUCGCGUCGCAUUGUUUUGUCAGGGCGGAAGUGAAGCAAUCUAUAAGAUGGUCAUGAAACUAGUCUUUACGUCUUGAAUUAUUCUAAAAGUGAAUAGUCUGACUGCAUUUUAUUAUUUAUUACUUUUAAUAUAAAUGAUGGGCAUGAGGAUUGACUCUAAAUAAAUAUAUAUUUUAAUCCUACUUCAAUAGUUUGUUUAUAUUUUAACGUCUAUGUUUAUAUAACUGUAAUAUAAUAAAAUAUCCUAACAGUUUCACGAGUGAAGUGUAGAAAUCAAAGCAGCAACAUAUUCACAAUAAGGUGUUAGCUUUAUUUAUUUAAAUUAUAUUAAACUGGGCGGUCUUAUCCCUCUGGCCGCGACGACUUUAAACUGUCUGGGAUUCUUGAAAGCUAUUUACCGUAAAACGAGUUUGAGUAUUUGCUUACGCCACGCGAUCUUUACAAAACACAGCUGAACGCAACCUGACUAAAUAUGACGUGAUUCGAGGUUAAAGUAAACGAGAUAACAAUAAAUUAAUAUAAUACAUAAUCUUAUAAAAAUGAAUUGAUGUUCGUUAGUCUCGCUAAAACUCGAGAACGGCUGGACCGAUUUGGCUAAUUUGGUCUUGAAUUAUUUGCGGAAGUCCACAGAAGGUUUAAAAGGUAGAUAAAUAUGAAAAUGCUCAGAAUUAAAUAAAAAUAACAAUUUUGUUUUUCCUUUGAUGUGUCCCCCAUCGGACGGAUUCCUUCUGUUUGUUUUAAGCUUAUUUUAUACAAAAGCUUAAGUCUUUUAUUUAUCGAUUGAGGCACUACGAAGUCUGCCUGGUCAGCUAGUAAUAUAAUAAUAAUUAUUAUUAUUGUAAUAAUAUAAUACAGCAUAUAAUAAAGCAUUAUGAUCGGGGUUCAGUUUAUUGGGGUGGCGUAUUUAAUGACAUCUCUGGAAUACGGAUCGUUUAAACCUCUGGGUCUACGGAGGGACUCCGGUUCCCUCUUUAUUUUGUACCGUAUGUUCCAUGGGGAGUGCUCUGAGGAACCGCACCUCCCGCCAUCGGAGCAGAGUUCAUCCAUAUUAUCCGGAACCGCUGCGUGCAUCGAGAGUGCGUUUCCAGAGCUCUUUUUUGCCACGUACCAUCCGGCUAUCGAAUGAGCUCCCCUCUAUGGUGUUUCCCGAGCGCUAUGACAUGUUCUUCUUCAAACGACGCUUGUGGAGAGUAUUAAGUGGUAGGCAGCGGCUUGGCUCUGCUCCUGGCAUUGCUCAAGUCCAUGGGCGACGGUAACCACUCACCAUCAGGUAGGCCGUAUGCUCGUGUGCCUACAAGGGCAAUAAAAAAAAUACGUGUUAAUGCCGCGAGGGCGAAUACCUAUACUGCUCCCACAGACGUGUGAUGGUUCUAGGCGUCCCUGGUAUACGGCCAGAAGGAUGAGCCCCACGGGGCGCGUGCCCGGGUGGCCUUGACCGGGUGACCUUGGCUGAGCACUUCCGAGACGAGGAGGGCCAGGACUUACUGUUGUUUAUUGACAACAUCUUCAGAUUUACGCAAGCCGGUUCCGAGGUUCGGACGCGAAGCAGUUAUCAGUUUGAAGGGCGAGGUGGCCGUUUUACUGUAAAGCUAAGCCUUAGGAGUAAUCUCAAGGCCGUAUACGUCCCGGCAGACGACCUCACAGACCCGGCUCCGGCUACGACCUUCGCUCACUUAGACGCGACCACGGUCCUCUCGCCCGCCAUCGCGGAGCUGGGUGUAUAUCCGGCGGUGGACCCCCUGGAUUCGACCUCGAGAGUGAUGGAUCCUAACAUCAUCGGGGCUGAGCAUUACGGCAUCGCCAGGGGCGUGCAGAAAAUACUGCAGAGCAGAGCAUCACCGGCUUUUGUAUUUCUAACAAGUGGUCCCUAGACAGGAUUACAAAUCGCUACAGGACAUUAUCCUAGGCAUGGAAGAGCUGUCCGAAGAUGACCAGCCAGAGAUAGCCAGAGCCAGGAAGAUACAGAGGUUCCCUUCGCAGCCGAUCCAGAUUUUAGGCGCGAGAUGGAUCACAUUCCGGAAGCUGCCUUCUACAUGGUGGGCACCAUAGAGGACGUGAUCGCCAAGUUGUCACAGGAACUCUCCAAAAGCGUGUAGAGUCGAACUGUUUUAUAAGUUAUUUUAUUCGAAUAAAGAUGUUGGUUUU